rnacentral:rRNA from 1 species
GGAGGAAAAGAAACUAACAAGGAUUCCCCUAGUAACUGCGAGUGAAGCGGGAAAAGCUCAAAUUUAAAAUCUGGCGGUCUUUGGCCGUCCGAGUUGUAAUCUAGAGAAGUGUUAUCCGCGCUGGACCGUGUACAAGUCUCCUGGAAUGGAGCGUCAUAGAGGGUGAGAAUCCCGUCUUUGACACGGACUGCCAGGGCUUUGUGAUGCGCUCUCAAAGAGUCGAGUUGUUUGGGAAUGCAGCUCAAAAUGGGUGGUAAAUUCCAUCUAAAGCUAAAUAUUGGCGAGAGACCGAUAGCGAACAAGUACCGUGAGGGAAAGAUGAAAAGAACUUUGGAAAGAGAGUUAAACAGUACGUGAAAUUGCUGAAAGGGAAACGCUUGAAGUCAGUCGCGUUGUCCGGGGAUCAACCUUGCUUUUGCUGGGUGUACUUUCCGGUCGACGGGUCAGCAUCAAUUUUGACCGUUGGAUAAAGUCUUUGGGAAUGUGGCUUCCUCGGAAGUGUUAUAGCCCAGGGUCGCAUACAACGGUUGGGAUUGAGGAACUCAGCACGCCGAAAGGCCGGGUACUUGUACCACGUUCGUGCUUAGGAUGCUGGCAUAAUGGCUUUAAUCGACCCGUCUU